rnacentral:rRNA from 1 species
GGCUGUAACUAUAACGGUCCUAAGGUAGCAAAUUUCCUUGUCGUCCAAAUAAUGACCUGCAUGAAACAUAGAACAUCUCGAUAGCUGUCUUGAAUACAUGUGGUGGUAAAAUAUUAGCCUCGGCCACAAACCCAUAGGCUGAUUAGGCAUGUGUGUGCGCAUCCAAAUGUAAAAGGACACUAAGACCCUCUGAAGCUUUCUAGGGAUAAAAUUGAUUACAGCAUUGUCGGUAGUUGUUGCACAUUGGCUCAUUGGCUAGACCAUCCUCUUUGCCCACCAAAUGUACCAAAUAAUGACAAUCGGACUGUUUAAUUGGGGCGAUAACCUUCUCAAGUGGUCGAAAGGUGAACAAAGCUAUACCAGAUUGAUGCUAGAUCAAUUCAUAAUUGUCCAAAGAUACAUGUGUGGCUUAAUGGUGUUGGAAUUCCUUACCAGUAUUGAAAUGCUAUCUUAGUGAGCUUUGAAUUAAUCUAGCAACACGAAGCUACUCUAGGGAUAACAGGCUUAAAUUUUGCAAUUAAAUAGCGUCAUAUUUGAACACUUUUGGCACCUCGAUGUCGGCUUAUCAACAUAAAAAUCUGUAGUUAGCUUAUUUGUGGGAGUGCUCAUCCCGUAAC